CAGCAGCACUUCUGGCAAGAACACUACUAUUGUGCUAUUGUGGCAUGAAUGUGCUAAACCAUAGAAAGGAAAAAAUAUAUAUAUUGUGCCAUUCAGUGUGCGUCACCAUCACGGUUCUCUGCUUAGGACCUUGUCCAACCCACCAGUCCAUGGACAUUUAUUUUGGAGGAGCGAAAAGCACUUCUGACUGAGUGAGAUGAUCAGUUCUGCAUUUGCAGUAUGUUAGUUGUGUUAGGGCCUUGGUGGAAAUAGCUGCUCUCCUCUUGUCGUUGACGUCUCUCAUCUCCUUAUGCCAUUCAGCUCUGCACAGGGGGUCUCUGCAGGGCAGCAGGCACUGUGUCACCACCCCUGAGAGCAGCCACAGUAAAAAUGAAUUGAUUUUCCAUCAAGGAUAUCCAGGUCUCAGAAGAGGAAAAACCAGUGCAGGUGGUCUGGAGGAAGAUGAUCAGCGCAGUGGUUUUCAGUCAGUCUUCAUUUGCAUCACAAAACCAUCAUCUUCCUGAGCAAGAUGGAGCAGCAGGGCCCGCAGCCUGCUCAGCUGCAGAAAUGGGCAGGGCAGGCUGGGAAUUGGGAGCACUGGCUGUGCUGUGAGCGGUGUUUCACACAUUACCUCCACCUCCAAAAGGCUUGGCUCUGGACAGUGCUGUUCAUCUCUCACUUUUAUGAGUGCUAAAAGGUUUCCUCUCCUCUCCGUGGGGGGUGACCAAAUGCAAUUUAAGUAAGUGUUUCUGCUGAAACAUCGAUAUUUCUUGGUUGGCGUUUGUUGUUCUCAUCGUUACAAAGAACAUUCUUUCUGUUAACCUAAUCUAAAUGAUCACUUUGAGACUGCAAAGCUAUAUGUCAUUUUUAAGCUACUGUAUCAUGAUGGCCUUAGGGAAAUUUUACAGAUGCCUUGCCACAAUCUAUUUCUUCCCCAUGACGAAGUACCAGGCUGCUUGCUUGGAUUCAUUUGCCACAGCUGUUUGCCUCUUUGACCUCAAAGCUGCGGAAAGUAUGGUGACAGUAGAACACAAAGGAGAGUGCCUCUUAAAUUAAUGAUUUUAAGAAUUAUUUUCUGGAG
ensembl:lncRNA